AGAAUCAACGCUGGCGGCGUGCCUCAGACAUGCAAGUCGAACGCGAAAGUCCCCUUCGGGAGACGAGUAGAGUGGCGCACGGGUGAGUAACACGUAGGUAAUCUACCUUUGGAUGGGGAAUAACAAUCGGAAACGGUUGCUAAUACCGCAUAAUGACAGCGGCACCUAAUGGUGACAGUUGUUAAAGCGGGGGAUCGAAAGACCUCGCGUCUGAAGAGGAGCCUAGCGGCGGAUUAGCUAGUUGGUAAGGUAACGGCUUACCGAAGGCGACGAUCCGUAGCCGGCCUGAGAGGGCGUCGGUCACGACGUGACACUGACAGUACGGGUACAGUAC
rnacentral:rRNA from 1 species